rnacentral:misc_RNA from 1 species
GAAAUUUAAUUAUAAACCAGACCGUCUCCUCAUGGUCAAUUCGGUGUUCGCUUUUGAAUACUUCAAGACUAUGUAGGGAAUUUUUGGAAUACCUUU